GAUGAACGCUGGCGGCGUGCCUAAUACAUGCAAGUCGAGCGAACAGACGAGGAGCUUGCUCCUCUGACGUUAGCGGCGGACGGGUGAGUAACACGUGGAUAACCUACCUAUAAGACUGGGAUAACUUCGGGAAACCGGAGCUAAUACCGGAUAAUAUAUUGAACCGCAUGGUUCAAUAGUGAAAGACGGUUUUGCUGUCACUUAUAGAUGGAUCCGCGCCGCAUUAGCUAGUUGGUAAGGUAACGGCUUACCAAGGCAACGAUGCGUAGCCGACCUGAGAGGGUGAUAGGCCACACUGGAACUGAGACACGGUCCAGACUCCUACGGGAGGCAGCAGUAGGGAAUCUUCCGCAAUGGGCGAAAGCCUGACGGAGCAACGCCGCGUGAGUGAUGAAGGUCUUCGGAUCGUAAAACUCUGUUAUGAGGGAAGAACAAAUGUGUAAGUAAAUAUGCACGUCUUGACGGUAACUAAUCAGAAAGCCACGGCUAACUACGUG
rnacentral:rRNA from 1 species